GACGAACGCUGGCGGCGUGCCUAAUACAUGCAAGUAGAACGCUGAAGAGAGGAGCUUGCUCUUCUUGGAUGAGUUGCGAACGGGUGAGUAACGCGUAGGUAACCUGCCUUGUAGCGGGGGAUAACUAUUGGAAACGAUAGCUAAUACCGCAUAACAAUGGAUGACACAUGUCAUUUAUUUGAAAGGGGCAAUUGCUCCACUACAAGAUGGACCUGCGUUGUAUUAGCUAGUAGGUGAGGUAACGGCUCACCUAGGCGACGAUACAUAGCCGACCUGAGAGGGUGAUCGGCCACACUGGGACUGAGACACGGCCCAGACUCCUACGGGAGGCAGCAGUAGGGAAUCUUCGGCAAUGGGGGCAACCCUGACCGAGCAACGCCGCGUGAGUGAAGAAGGUUUUCGGAUCGUAAAGCUCUGUUGUAAGUCAAGAACGAGUGUGAGAGUGGAAAAUUCACACUGUGACGGUAGCUUACCAGAAAGGGACGGCUAACUACGUGCCAGCAGCCGCGGUAAUACGUAGGUCCCGAGCGUUGUCCGGAUUUAUUGGGCGUAAAGCGAGCGCAGGCGGUUUGAUAAGUCUGAAGUUAAAGGCUGUGGCUCAACCAUAGUUCGCUUUGGAAACUGUCAAACUUGAGUGCAGGAGGGGAGAGUGGAAUUCCAUGUGUAGCGGUGAAAUGCGUAGAUAUAUGGAGGAACACCGGUGGCGAAAGCGGCUCUCUGGUCUGUAACUGACGCUGAGGCUCGAAAGCGUGGGGAGCGAACAGGAUUAGAUACCCUGGUAGUCCACGCCGUAAACGAUGAGUGCUAGGUGUUGGAUCCUUUCCGGGAUUCAGUGCCGCAGCUAACGCAUUAAGCACUCCGCCUGGGGAGUACGACCGCAAGGUUGAAACUCAAAGGAAUUGACGGGGGCCCGCACAAGCGGUGGAGCAUGUGGUUUAAUUCGAAGCAACGCGAAGAACCUUACCAGGUCUUGACAUCCCGAUGCUAUUUCUAGAGAUAGAAAGUUACUUCGGUACAUCGGUGACAGGUGGUGCAUGGUUGUCGUCAGCUCGUGUCGUGAGAUGUUGGGUUAAGUCCCGCAACGAGCGCAACCCCUAUUGUUAGUUGCCAUCAUUCAGUUGGGCACUCUAGCGAGACUGCCGGUAAUAAACCGGAGGAAGGUGGGGAUGACGUCAAAUCAUCAUGCCCCUUAUGACCUGGGCUACACACGUGCUACAAUGGUUGGUACAACGAGUUGCGAGUCGGUGACGGCAAGCUAAUCUCUUAAAGCCAAUCUCAGUUCGGAUUGUAGGCUGCAACUCGCCUACAUGAAGUCGGAAUCGCUAGUAAUCGCGGAUCAGCACGCCGCGGUGAAUACGUUCCCGGGCCU
rnacentral:rRNA from 1 species